AUGAGGUGUUGCUUAAUGGCUUGCUUGCUCAAAGUGCUUAGUGAUAUGCUCCAAAGCCCUCAACCACUUUCUCAUAUCUACAUAUGUCCCAAACUAAAAGUCAAACUCGGCCCCACCGAUUUGAUCUAUCCGGCGCCACCGAGUUCAUUUGACAUAGCCACUGCCAAAAACCCUAAUCAAUUCGGUCUCACCGAUGGGAUCCCGGUGUCACCGAGAUGGGCUUGCAAACUCUCUGGUUCCUAUUGUAAUAAAUUCGGUCUUACCGAGUUUUGUGAUCAGUCUCACCGAGUUUGCUUGACCAACUCUCUGGUUAGCUUAUCGCCAAAAUCGGUCCUACCGAGUUUGUGUAAUCGGUCAAACCGAGAUGAGGUUUUACCCUAA
rnacentral:rRNA from 1 species